CCUCCACCUCUCUCUCUUUUUCUCUGUCUCUCAUGCUUCCCCAAAAUUGCGUCCUUUAACUCCAUUCUGUCUAACCUGCUUUGCUGAAUCUUUAACCCUCUGCUAAUCAUGACACUAUAAUAAUUUAUUUUGGGAGGUUAUUAUAAAUCGCCUUUUUGUUUUUUUGAGAACUUUUUUGAAGGGGUGGCUAAGAGGAAUAUGAUGGCAAAAGGACGAGGAGGCCAAGAAAGAGACUCCCAGCAAGGAGGAGGAGGAAGGAGAGCCACCCACCGCCUGCAGCGACCGCCUCACUCCGUACGGGCCGCCAGCCUCAUCUAGACCACUUGGAUUCUGGUGUCCACCCAGAUGGGUUCUCCAGCUGCAACAACCUUCUGUCCCAGAAUCCACUUUCUCCCCAUCCCAAACAACUUAUGUAAAUGCUUUGCUAAAGCUGGUAAAAUGGAACCAAAUCAACUGUUCAAUGGAUUUGGUCCCCUUCAACCAGCUGUAGCUGUGCAUUGAUUGCUCCGACUACUCACCCCAACCGCUCGCACCCCUGUCACAUGCGUGUGCCUGCAAAUACGAAGGACCAAUUUAUGCAAAGAAGAGUGUUUGUUGCACCACUUUCAACAGCCACUCGCGCACGUGCGCACACACGCGCGCACACACACACACACACACACACACACACACACACACACACACACACACACACACACACACACACAUAUACACACUAUUUGCAUGAAUAACUGUCAUUUGUAAUUGUAAUUUAGGAAGUUAUCUUCAGGGAUGGUGAAAGGAAAACUGUGUUGCCAUAAAUGCUUUUUUUUUUUUUUAAUGUACUGUGACUGCAUGCACAGACAAGAUUUGACUGUGCUACUAAUCUUUAAAUCAAUAAAAGACAAAAU